AAAAUGGUAAACCCUCACAAGAAUCCAAAGAAACAAAGCACACGUGAUACACAAUUUGGGCAACCUCUCCCCUUCACGCCCACUGUUCCAGAAUUUCUCCUCCCAAAUCAUACAAAGAUCUGAACCAUGAAGAAGAAGCCAAAAUCCCUCCUCUGCACCCAUUAACCAAAGCGCUCAAACCUGUCACUUUCUCAAAACCUCUUCUCCCAAUUUUUCCCCAAAUCGUGAUUACCAACACAGAGGUUCCAGGCUGGAAUACAAGAGUUGUGGUAUGUACAUUUGAAUUUUGAAUUUGAAUUUCCCCCCUUCAGUUUUAGGAGAUUUUGUUGAAUUCAAAGUUGGAUCCUUUAUUGCUGGAGAAAAGCAGACAAACAGAGUUUUAAGCAUCAAGUAUGAAAGAGUUCAAAUAAAUGAUGUUGGAGAGUCGAUCAAAUUGAAGGUCUGCUUUAAUUACAAGCUACAAAUAGUGGCUCAUGGAUUCCUUUUCAUUCACUGGAUUUGUAGUGUUUCAUUGGAAUAGUCUUGGCCAAAGUUUUACUGUUCUUAUUUUUGAAACCGUUUAUUAGUUUGAAGGUUGAAGUUGGAUUUUGAGCUUAUAGCUUGCUAACCGAAGACUAGAUCAUGAUACUAUCAAACAAUAAUGACUAUAGGCAAGAUAUAUAGAGUAGGAGCAGCUUGCAUAUUUGUUAUAGAUAGAUGCAUCUUUCAAUAUAAGAGACUUUUCUUGGUUAAUCGAUGUUAGGAAGAAUCUCAAUGCUAGCUAAUGGCAAUCUAUCAUAAUCCAUUUACUUGAUAUUUCAUUGUUAUUCAAGUGCAUUGAAACUUUUUUAGCCAUAUGAUCUACUUUUGAUCGUUUUAUAUAUGAUUUGUAGCAUAACUAAAAUUGUUAAUAGCUAUGUAAAUUCAAAAAACACGGGGUGCACCGAAAGGGUUAUGUCUAUGCGUAUAUCAACUUUGUAAAUAUUAUAGAAUGAUUGUGUUAUGUAUCUUUAUUAUAAUUAAGUUCCAAUUGUUAUAUUUAGAAAAAACAGGGGGAGCGUCCCAUAAGGGUUAUUUUA